rnacentral:lncRNA from 1 species
CUUUAACAUCAGGAAUCAUAGCAUCACUUCUGUUUAUUAAACAGAAGAAUUAAUAGGUUUUUUUUUAAAGCAACUUUGAGAGUACGCACUUGGGAAAUCAUUCAGUCUUCUUUAUCCCACCCAAGAGCCUAAAUGUAUUUUGCUGAAUCGAUGAAGCCAAGUGACUAUUGAUUCCUUGGUCACUGUAUUAAUCACUUUGUCAAUGUCAGGAUAUGAAGAAAAUUAAGUAGUCAGCUGUCUCCCUUUCUUUGUCCUUGGAAGCAAUAUCCAAGCCAGAGAGGAUGACAGACAUUGGGGCAAUAGACAUUAAUCCCAUUGUCAUAGCAACUCUGGAAUCAACCACAUUUAGAACUUGUUGAGUACUAUAGAGUAGAACUUCAACUGAGAAGUGGACUGGAAACUAUUGUGUUUUAAGAUAGAGAAAAAAUGAGGCAUUGAAACACUGUGACAACGCUGGUAGAUGUCCUACACACUGAUAUGAAAAACCACUUUCGAACUUGAAGGUCCCUUGGGACUAGUAACAACAGUCAAACACUCUGCAUGAAAGAUUUUUUGCCUUUUUAUUUUGCUUCUGAAAACACCUGGACACAAAACUUAGAGCACCAACGGCAUCUCUCCUUUUCACGUGUAGAGGGGAAAAUGAGAGAAAAGAUUUGACAUCGUGGAGAGAAAUUAAAAAGGAGAGCUGCAGAAUUCUAUAGCAGUGGGGGAUGGGCAGGAAAAGCAAUUCAGAACUUUGGAGAAGAGAGCUGAGCUGAUCCAGUUACAAUUGGGAGUGGACUUCUGCCUGGCAUCAUAGAACAAACAGGUAGCUCAAACCUGGCUCCUUGAUCCAGUGAUCUUCUAUCUUUAAUUUCCUGACCCAGAUCCCAUCAGAAGACAAACCUAUUGGACAGGAAUUUGUGAAAUAAGCUGUCCAAAAGGAAGAAUUUCCAUCUAUCUCCUUAAAUCUGAACUUGGGACACUUAUUGUGCAAAAAAGAACAGAUUCCUCAUUAUCCUGACCCCCAAGUGGAUUGGGUGAACCAAACCUGAUCUGCUUGACUUUGGGGGGAAUAAGGGACCCCUUCUCCCUCCUUCCUCCCUGAAUACUAAUCCUUACUCUCUUAGACCUGCCCUGUGCCCUUUCUGUUUCCAUUCAAUAAAAUUUUAGUUCAGAUACUACUCA